rnacentral:rRNA from 1 species
UAUACAUGCAGUCGAACGCUUUGUGGUUCAACUGAUUUGAAGAGCUUGCUCAGAUAUGACGAUGGACAUUGCAAAGAGUGGCGAACGGGUGAGUAACACGUGGGAAACCUACCUCUUAGCAGGGGAUAACAUUUGGAAACAGAUGCUAAUACCGUAUAACAAUAGCAACCGCAUGGUUGCUACUUAAAAGAUGGUUCUGCUAUCACUAAGAGAUGGUCCCGCGGUGCAUUAGUUAGUUGGUGAGGUAAUGGCUCACCAAGACGAUGAUGCAUAGCCGAGUUGAGAGACUGAUCGGCCACAAUGGGACUGAGACACGGCCCAUACUCCUACGGGAGGCAGCAGUAGGGAAUCUUCCACAAUGGGCGAAAGCCUGAUGGAGCAACGCCGCGUGUGUGAUGAAGGGUUUCGGCUCGUAAAACACUGUUGUAAGAGAAGAAUGACAUUGAGAGUAACUGUUCAAUGUGUGACGGUAUCUUACCAGAAAGGAACGGCUAAAUACGUGCC